UCAGUAAAGGGUGUAAAGAAAUUUCCAAA
rnacentral:piRNA from 1 species